UAGGUAUUUCAGUACGAACAGAUUGUCUCGGAUAACAAGAAAUAGGGGGGAAAAACCAUUGGAGAUGAUAAUGAAGCAUUCAAAAAAGCUUUCAGGCUACAGUAUCGUAGGCAAUAUAGACAAAAACAACUGUUUAUUCCAUAGCAUCAUUCUUCUAGGACUGAUCUCGACAUCUACACCAGCACCUCUUCAUAUUCAUCGAGCCUUCCUCAACUACAAAGUCAUCCUAAAUAACGUUCAUGGUGUUAACAUCGCAUAGUAGUCUGAGAUGGAAGAGGUACAACGAAAAGAGUCCGGUUGAUAGUCUGAGACAGAAGACAGAACAUUCAGCGUGUUAACUUCGCAUAGUGAGCUAAAAAGUCAUACCAUCGUGCUACAACAAAGAGUCCUGUUGAUCCAAAAAAAAAAGAUUCGAUGUUUAUUUGGCAUAAGAGGUUAGGAAACAUCUGUCAAAAAAAAAAAAAAAAAAAGAGGUUAGAAAACAGGACCAAGCUUGUAUAAAUAAUCAGAUUUAGUUGUAGUUGUCCAGCCUUUGUUGAUAUCUUAACAUUGUAGUUGUAAAAUGACUUGACCUACAUUUUCAUGAUACAUGCGAGGAAGAAGCUCAACUUCUCCUCAGUGCCCUUUAUGGUAUUUAUUCUGGAGUCAAAUGCAUUCCC
rnacentral:lncRNA from 1 species